rnacentral:rRNA from 1 species
CACGUAGGGCGCAAGCGUUGUCCGGAAUUAUUGGGCGUAAAGAGCUCGUAGGCGGUCUGUUGCGUCCGCUGUGAAAACUCGGGGCUUAACCCCGAGCCUGCAGUGGAUACGGGCAGACUAGAGGUAGGUAGGGGAGAAUGGAAUUCCCGGUGUAGCGGUGAAAUGCGCAGAUAUCGGGAGGAACACCGGUGGCGAAGGCGGGUCUCUGGGCAAUAACUGACGCUGAGGAGCGAAAGCGUGGGGAGCGAACAGG